rnacentral:rRNA from 1 species
ACGGGUGAGUAAUAUAUCGGAACAUACCCUAGAGUGGGGGAUAACGUAGCGAAAGUUACGCUAAUACCGCAUACGAUCUAAGGAUGAAAGCGGGGGAUCGCAAGACCUCGUGCUCAUGGAGUGGCCGAUAUCUGAUUAGCUAGUUGGUAGGGUAAAAGCCUACCAAGGCGACGAUCAGUAGCUGGUUUGAGAGAACGACCAGCCACACUGGAACUGAGACACGGUCCAGACUCCUACGGGAGGCAGCAGUGGGGAAUUUUGGACAAUGGGGGCAACCCUGAUCCAGCAAUGCCGCGUGAGUGAAGAAGGCCUUCGGGUUGUAAAGCUCUUUUGUCAGGGAAGAAACGGUGAGUUCUAAUACAACUUGCUAAUGACGGUACCUGAAGAAUAAGCACCGGCUAACUACGUGCCAGCAGCCGCGGUAAUACGUAGGGUGCAAGCGUUAAUCGGAAUUACUGGGCGUAAAGCGUGCGCAGGCGGUUUUAUAAGUCUGAUGUGAAAUCCCCGGGCUCAACCUGGGAACUGCAUUGGAGACUGUAAGGCUAGAGUGUGUCAGAGGGGGGUAGAAUUCCACGUGUAGCAGUGAAA